rnacentral:rRNA from 1 species
GGAUGCAAGCGUUAUCCGGAAUUACUGGGCGUAAAGCGUGCGCAGGCGGUUCGUUAAGUCAGCUGUGAAAGCCCCGGGCUCAACCUGGGAAUGGCGGUUGAAACUGGCGAACUAGAAUCUGGCAGAGGGGGGUGGAAUUCCACGUGUAGCAGUGAAAUGCGUAGAGAUGUGGAGGAACACCGAUGGCGAAGGCAGCCCCCUGGGCUGAGAUUGACGCUCAGGCACGAAAGCGUGGGGAGCAAACAGG